rnacentral:tRNA from 1 species
CGGGGCGUAGCUCAGCCUGGUAGAGCGCCUGCUUUGGGAGCAGGAUGUCGGAAGUUCGAAUCCUCUCGCCCCGACCA